AACGAACGCUGGCGGCAUGCCUAACACAUGCAAGUCGAACGAAGCCUUCGGGCUUAGUGGCGCACGGGUGCGUAACACGUGGGAAUCUGCCCUUCGGUUCGGAAUAACAGUUAGAAAUGACUGCUAAUACCGGAUGAUGACGUAAGUCCAAAGAUUUAUCGCCGAAGGAUGAGCCCGCGUAGGAUUAGGUAGUUGGUAGGGUAAUGGCCUACCAAGCCGACGAUCCUUAGCUGGUCUGAGAGGAUGAUCAGCCACACUGGGACUGAGACACGGCCCAGACUCCUACGGGAGGCAGCAGUGGGGAAUAUUGGACAAUGGGCGAAAGCCUGAUCCAGCAAUGCCGCGUGAGUGAUGAAGGCCUUAGGGUUGUAAAGCUCUUUUACCAGGGAUGAUAAUGACAGUACCUGGAGAAUAAGCUCCGGCUAAACUCCGUG
rnacentral:rRNA from 1 species